UAGGGAAUCUUCGGCAAUGGACGCAAGUCUGACCGAGCAAUGCCGCGUGCGUGAAGAAGGCUUUCGGAUCGUAAACCUCUUUUGUUAGAGAAGAACAACGAUGUUAGUAUAUGAAGGUCGCAUGACGGUAUCUGACGAAUAAGCCCCGGCUAACUACGUGCCAGCAGCCGCGGUAAUACGUAGGUUGCAAGCGUUGUCCGGAUUUACUGGGCGUAAAGCGUGCGCAGGCGGCUUCUCAAGUCAGAUGUGAAAUCCCCGGGCUCAACCGGGGAACGUCAUUGGAAACUGGGAGACUUGAGUGCAGAAGAGGAGAAUGGAAUUCCGUGUGUAGCAGUGAAAUGCGUAGAUAUAUGGAGGAACACCAGUGGCGAAGGCAGUCCUCUGGUCAGUAACUGACGCUGAGGCUCGAAAGCGUGGGGAGCAAACAGG
rnacentral:rRNA from 1 species